rnacentral:lncRNA from 1 species
UCCCAGAGUACAAAGGCUAAAGAACCUGGAAUUUGAUGUCCUAGGGCAGGAGAAGAAAAGGGGUACUGCUCUGGAAAAGAGAGAGAAAGAGAGAAAAAAAAGGAAGCAAGAAAAAGAAAAAAAGAAAAGCAAGCAAGCUGAAUGUCUUCCUUCUUCCACCUCCUUUGUUCCUGCUGUACUGCCACUGCCCAAUAUAUAAUAUUUCAGGAAACAUUGCUUUAUGAAGGGCUCCAUAACAGUUAAUGAAGACGGAGUCUAGCCCUGUCGCCCAGGCUGGAGUGCAAUGGCGUGAUCUCGGCUCACUGCAACCUCUGCCUCCCAAGUUCAAGCAAUUCACCUGCCUCAGCCUCCAGAGUAGCUGGGACUACAGGCGCCCGCCACCAUGCCCAGCUAAGUUUUUUGUAUUUUUAGUAGAGAAGGGGUUUCAUCAUGUUGCCCAGGCUGGUCUCUAACUCCUGAGCUCAGGCAAUUCACCCGCCUCAGCCUCCCAAAGUGCUAGAAUUAUAGGCGUGAGCCACCGCGCACGGCCAGAAAGUGAUACUUUUAUUUCAUGAAAAUGAAAUCUGAAAAGCAUUAGCCAACCCACUCCUGAGCUCAGACUGCAAGGUUUACUUGCACUGACUUCGUAAAAUGUCUAGGUCAGUUAACAACUUAAAUAAAAGGGCUUCUCCUCAAGACUACUGUGGAAUUUCACUAGGCAGCAGAAGUUUGUUAUGUGUACUUCUUAUUUUGGAACAUAGAAUAUUACAAAGAUAUAUACUCAAAGUUUGAAAUGUAAUAAAAUUAAUGUUCUUAUAUUAAGGGCAUCUUACACAAAACAAUUUUUUUUAAAUCUGUGAAUAUCUGGUGGUAAAGAAGGUAAUGGCUACCAGUAGAGUGGUGUUAUCAAUUUCACCCACCAUUGUUCAAUGUAAAUUUCAAUUCAGUAAAAAGGAAAAUAAUAAGUCAUUAUUAUUAUAAAAGCAGUUUUGACCUGUAGGCCUCUGAAAGAGGUUCAGUUUUUCUAGAAGCUGGAGGAUCACAGUUUGAGAUUUGAUGACUUGUAUUUUAGCAUGUAGAGCCAGUAAAAUAGCACGUAAUUUCUUUCUGGUAAAGAACAUAACCCUAAAAUAAUAGAUUUAUUUUUCUAUAAAGCAUAAACUAGUUUGUCUCUAACUUAGCAAACUUAUUUCUGCAUGCUUUUCCUAAAUGACUAUAUAACCUCUGUUUCUCAGAUUCUCUUGAAUCAGCUGCACUGUUCUGUUAGUUCUUUCAUUAAUGAGUUAAAUAUUAACACUUACAUGUUCCCACCAUAUAUUUGCUUAAGAAUUAUGUCUUACCUCUUAAAAAUUAUGUUUUGACACCACUUACUAUGUGCUGUUGAGUAUGUGGUUUAAAUUCUCUAUGCCUUAUCUGUCAAAUGGAAAUAUUUAUAGCUACUACAUAGGGUUAUUGUAAUAAGCAAAUGAUUUAAUACACGUACCACACUUAGAACAGUGUCUGGCAUAGCAUAAAUACUGAACACUAUAUAAGUUUAUCUAUUACUCUUUAUAUUAUUAAGAAAAAUUCUCUAAUAAAUGUUUUUAAAUAGACAUCUCCUCCACCCUAGGAAAAAACAAUUAAUUCUCAUGUGACUAGUUUUGAAAACAUGAAAACAGUCCAAAAUUUUAGCAUUUAUACAAAUGUUUAAAAUAAACCUAACAUCCCAAAAGACUAUCUUGUCCUUUCUCUGAUACAUAAGGUGAGGUGAAACCAAAAGAACUACAAAAAUCUCUGUACUUGGUGAUCUUUCCCCAAGAGCAAAUGCUGUGUAAAAUAAGCCCUAUACUCAGCUGAGGUGAGUCAAUGGGGUUUGGUUUUCAGAUAACUCUCCCCUCAAGUCCUGCUUUGCUUCUGUUGACUCAGUUAUUUGCCAAUUAUUGGAUGAGUGCAAAACAUCUGAGAAUGACAGAAACAAACCUUCAGUGAAGUUAUGCAGUUCCAGUCAUGAUGUAGCCAGAAAAUGCACUGAAAAUGGAAUCUGAAAGGCAUUAGCCAACCCACUCCUGAGCUCAGGCUGCAAGGUUUACUUGUACUGAUAUUCAUAAAAAUAGUUUAAGUAUGAAUCAGGGAAGAGUAACUAUUUUAAAGCUGCCAAUAGUUUCUUUUUAUUGCUUGAGGUAGAGUGAAGUAGAGAGUUGAAAAUUGUUAAAGUAGGAAUAUUUUGCAUUUUGUUUUAAACAUAGAAUUUGUCAUGGGGUAGAUCUUUCCUUCCUUCCUUCCAAAAGGCAUCAUUUUAGCCAGUGUUUUCUAGCCUUGUAGAUGCAAAGUCAUUAUACUGGCAAAAACAAAUCCAAAGGCAGAGACUGCAGACUGAGAUGUUAUUCCAUUAUUGAUUCAAACUGCUGUCUUGGCCUUUGCUGAGAUGAGUAUGGCUCUGUGUACUUGUUCUUUCUCUCCCAGAGGCCUGAGAGAGGGCAGGACUCCUGGACUUCAUAAAAGAAAGGAACAGGGAGUAACUCAAUCUUUUUUUCUUAAACUGGUCAAUUUUUGUUUAUUGAUAGUUUUAAAAAGUUUCUUUCAGUGUUGUAACUUCAUAUUGUCAAUGCCAUAUAAAUUAUUCAAAUAGUUGCCAAAUUUACAAAAACUUCUCUUCAGUUUGUUAAUGUUUGUAAGAUUUUAGAGAAUUUCAAAUUUUUUUGAACAGCAACUAAUCUGAAAUACUCUUUCAAUUGAUAAUGCUCAUUGAUCAGUUUGUCAACAAUGUUCUCAUUUUAUGAUUUAUUGUGAGUUUUAUAUUAUCUGAUAUGUGUUUUGUCAAAUCAAAAAUGUAAAGCUUUUAAAAUUUGUUCACAUAGUUCCCUCCUCCCCACUAAUGAAAUCAUUAAAUAAUCGAAGGACCUCCUAAUACUUCUUUGUAAAAUGUAUCGUUUCGUCCAAAUGACUGUUCCUUUUGGCAUGAUCCAAAAAAUAUUUUGUUACAAUUUACUUUUUGUAGUUAGAAUAAUUUCUAUCAAUUUUGUUGCUCCUAUGUAUUGCUUCUGUUUCAUAUUUCAUCUGACUUUUUUCUUUGAACAAUAAAUUGAAGGGUGAAAACAUAAGGUACUCUUCAUAUAUAUCUAAACCAAGAUUCACUUGUUUUAUUGAAAUGGUCCAAAAUAUUAUUUCAAAUUGCUAUUACUUAGUGUAAUCAAGUUUUGUCAACUUUGUGAAUAUCACUUAUAUACAGAUGGUAGUCUUUAAAAUGUUGAAGCACAUUGCAAGAACUAGACAACUUUGUAACAAGCAGACUCUUAUUUUUCAUUUAGACUUGGUGAUGAAAAAUCAAUAUUAGAAUGAGUCUUAGUCUGUUUUCUUUUGCUAUAACAGAUUACCAAUGACUGGGUAAUUUAUAAAGAAAAGAAAUUUAUUUUUUGCAAUGCUGA